rnacentral:lncRNA from 1 species
CUGGGAACCUGGACCACCUAGAACUGCCUCCUUCCAAGCGACACUGGGGCUGGCUCCCCAUCUGAGCCGUCUGGAGACCCUGUGGCUGGCAGGCGACGCCGUCCCCCCGCCCAGGGCCAAGGGGGAGCAGGGCUGUGGAGAGCAUGACCCCCUUGUUAAACCACGUCUGCCUUUAUGCCUCGAUACACCACACAGAGAGAUGACGGGAGAUACCACCAAGAUGAGAUGCCAACCCGGGAGAGGCUCUGCAGGUCCCCUGGUGCCCACGUCUACCUGGCUUGUCCCCACAGGUGGGUUUUCUGAGACAAGGGGGCUUUUGGACACAGGUCUGUCCCCAGAGCCAGCCAGCAGCUCCAGAGAAGAGACAGCAGGUGCCCAGGACGAUGCGGCUUAGUUGCCAGGUUGCCACGAAACAUCCAAUAUUUGAAAGUGUUCUAUGGACCUCAAAGGGCAAGAGACACCUUAAAAUGUUUGCUGGAUGGCUGUAGGAGGGUAGAGCCCUGGUGGGCACACCUGGUGGUGAGCUUGGAGGCGAGGCUCUGCUGCUCAUGUUCAUGGAGUCCCACGUCCACCAGGCCCUUUGAAUCUCGAGUUUCUGGCUUCAGAUGCCCCCAGGUUUCCAGAAGUCAAGAUUUCUAACAAAUGGACCCAAACCCCAAGCCAGCACCUGGAAGUGGCAGCAACACGGCUGUGUGGACCCCGGUGCUGGGAACCUUCUGGAGGCAGCUGGACACAGGGGCUGCCAGUGUGGAGAGGGACGCUGCUCAUUUUGACAUUUCAUCUGAAUAACGUUCCAAGUGUUCUAAUGAAAGCCUCUGCGCUCCCUUUGAAAUACUAGCAAUUACAAAGAUGAAUAAUUGCAUGAUAAAUAUUAAUUUGCACCAUCGUAAUGAGGCCCAGAAGCAUCCUGCUGCUAACUGAGUAAGUGUGGCCAUCACACCCCACCCUCAGGAAGGAGGAAAAAGUGGCAGCUUGCAGCAGAGAUGGAACAUCCCCAAACCACAGUGACAGCACAAAGGGCUGCCUGUCUGGUUCCAGUCCCCCAAGUAAAGGACACCUGGAGUCUUCGCAGAGGCCGCUGCUUCCCCUAACGGCCCUGCCUUUUGGCGCUGAGUGUCUGCAGACCUUUGGCAACCUUUGCAAAUAUCAUCCUCACAGAGGAGAGCUGCACCUCUUCCAUCUUAAGCAGUGAACCCAGGAUGCUUGGCGAUCUUGGGGCUUGUUUUUUCCUCUAAACACCUGCUGUGUGUUUUAUUGGGCAAGCCGUCCUUUCUGCGUCUGGGCUCCCUUGAGUCUGCAAACCUUCUUCUCUGAGUAUCGUCCACUGCUGGAUCUGAUCCUCUGGCAAGGAUCAGAUUCCCCCUGUCUGCCACCCAGCAGGGAGCAUGCGGGGCCACCGAAGGCACUUCCCCCAGAAAUACAGCAGCCAGGCUCCAGUCAGGGGCAAACAUGUCAGAAACCACACACACACACACGCACACACGCUACAUGCCCAUGAGGCUGAGGCUCCAGACCAUGGGGCUGUGUGUGUGGCCUCAGAAGUGCAUCUUGUGGGCUCUCUGUGCCCUCAUGCCCCUCCUCCCCAGGGUGGACUCAUGCAGCAAGAGAAGGGCUGUGUAUGUGUGUAUGUGUGUGUGUGUGUGGUAUCUGUGUGGUAUAUGGUGUGUGUGUGUGUGGUGUGUGUGUGUUUGAUGUGUGUGUGAUGUGUGAUGUGUGUGUGGUGUGUAUGUGAUAUGUGGUGUGUGUGUGCAGGGUGUGUGUGGUGUACGAUGUAUGUGGUACAUGGUGUGUGUGUGUGACAUGUGAUAUGUGGCACAUGGUUUGUGGUGUGUGGCAUGGGAUGUGUGUAUGGUAUAUGUGUGCUAUAUGGUAUGUGUGUGGUAUAUGUGUGUGGUGCAUGUGUGUGUAAUGUGUGGUGUAUGGUGUGUGUGGUGUAUGUGUGUGAUAUGUGGUGUGUGGCCUGUGGUGUGUGCGUGGUGUAUGUGUGUAUGGUGUAUGUGGUGUGUGCAUGUGAUAUGUGGUGUGUGCCAUGUGAUGUGUGUGGUGUGUGUAUGGUGUAUGUGGUGUAUGUGUGUGACAUGUGUGGUAUGUGAUGUGUGUGGUGUGUGUAUGAUGUAUGUGGUGUAUGUGUGUGAUAUGUGGCAUGUACCACGUGUGUGUGUGUAUGUGUGUGGUUUCUGACACGUGCCUCUGGAGCCCGGCUGCUGCAUUUCUGGGGGAAGCGGCUUCAGUGCACCCCCCGGGCUCCCUGCUGGGUGGCAGACACGGGGAAUCUGGGCCUUUUUGUUUUUUGCCUGUGUGGGUCUGUUUGCCUUGAGGAUCCUGCUAUCUUCAGCAUUAGCAACACCCACCGCUUGAUCAUGGGUCCCAAGAUUCUGGUUUGGUCGGCUCGAGGGCCGCCCGUCCUGACCGUGGGCUUGGGAGGGCGCCCCGGUCUCAUCCUCACCACCUGUGUAUAUUGUGUGUCUUUUCCAUCGCGGGCAGGGUCCUCUAUGUUGAUCUUGUUGAAUCUCAAUGAGUGAAAAUCACUCCCGAAAUGCAUCUUGUGCGGCUGGAGCAGAGAGCAGCCCCUUGAGGUCUCUGGGGCUCGCGGAGCUCCGCGUUUCUGCAGCCGCUUCAGCCGCCCAGUGGGUUUUUGUGUCCUGUGCUAACUUGUGACUCAUGGUUAAAGUUGUGAAACUGAGUCUGUGAGUUCUCCUUAUGUGUGAACCACAAAAAACCAUUUUUUUCCUCCUUGAAAAAGGAGGAUCCUUAGCCUUCUGUGCUGGCCUGUUUGUAAGGGAACCUUUCUGCAUCUGUGGCCUGCUUGGGAGCACCCUCGAUUGCAGCUGUUGGAGAGCCAACGGUAAUAAGAACUGAACAUUCGUUUGCACUUUAGAGAUUUCUGGAACAAUGAGGGGUUGUGUGCCAUGCGCUGAACUGUGUCCCCAGGCCCCACCAAUUCUAUGCUGAAGUCAUCAUCCUCAGGCCCUCAGAGUGUGACUGCAUUUGGAGACAGGGUCUUUAAAGAGGCGAUUAUAGUUAAAUGGGGUCACUGGAGCAGGCCCUCAUCCAAUAGGACCGGUGUCCUUAUAAGAAGAGAAGAUGAUAGGGACACCAGUCCUAUUGGAUUAGGACACAGACAUAUUAGUGUGGGACAACCGUGUGAGGACAUAGGGAGAAGGUGGCAUCUACAAGCCAAGGGGAGAGGCCAC